rnacentral:rRNA from 1 species
UACGUAGGGGGCAAGCGUUGUCCGGAAUCAUUGGGCGUAAAGAGCGUGUAGGCGGCCCGGUAAGUCCGCUGUGAAAGUCCAGGGCUCAACCCUGGGAUGCCGGUGGAUACUGUCGGGCUCGAGUCCGGAAGAGGAGUGUGGAAUUCCUGGUGUAGCGGGUGAAAUGCGCAGAUAUCAGGAGGAACACCAAUGGCGAAGGCAGCACUCUGGGACGUGACUGACG